rnacentral:rRNA from 1 species
CUGCCUCAGAACGGCGAGUGAAGCGGCAACAGCUCAAAUUUGAAAUCUGGCCCCAGCGGUCCGAGUUGUAAUUUGCAGAGGAUGCUUUUGACAAGGUGCCUUCCGAGUUCCCUGGAACGGGACGCCAUAGAGGGUGAGAGCCCCGUACGGUCGGUUGCCGAGUCUCUGUAAAGCUCCUUCGACGAGUCGAGUAGUUUGGGAAUGCUGCUCUAAAUGGGAGGUAAACCCCUUCUAAAGCUAAAUACUGGCCAGAGACCGAUAGCGCACAAGUAGAGUGAUCGAAAGAUGAAAAGCACUUUGAAAAGAGAGUUAAAUAGCACGUGAAAUUGUUGAAAGGGAAGCGCUUGUGACCAGACUUGUGCCUGGCAGCUCAGCCGUCCUUUUGGGCGGUGCAUUCUGCCGGCUCAGGCCAGCAUCAGUUCGCGGUUGGGGAGAAAGGUAACGGGAACGUAGCUCUUCGGAGUGUUAUAACCCGCUGCUAUGCCCUUCCGCGGACUGAGGUCGCGCUCUGCAAAGAUGCUGGCGUAAUGGGCAUCAACGACCCCUUUUGAAAACCGGGACAAGGAGUCGCCUAAUAUGCCAGUGUUCGGUGCCAAACCCCUGCGCCUAAUGAAAGUGAACCGAGGUGAAAACUUCGGCGCAUCAUCGACCGAUCCUGAUGUUCUCGAUGGAUUUGAGUAAGAGCAUAUUGGGCCGGACCCAAAAGAAGAUGAACUAUGCGUGGAUAGGGUAAACCAGAGGAACUCUGGUGGAGCUUCCACGGUCUUACUUGCAAAUCGAUCGCAAAUUGCCCUUGGGGCGAAAGAAUAAUCGAAUCUUCUAAUA